UACGGGGGGAGCAAGCGUUGUUCGGAUUUACUGGGCGUAAAGGGUGCGUAGGCGGCCUCCGCAAGUCGACUGUGAAAUCUCCGGGCUUAACCCGGAAAGGUCAGCCGAAACUGCGGGGCUAGAGUGCAGAAGGGGCAACUGGAAUUCUCGGUGUAGCGGUGAAAUGCGUAGAUAUCGAGAGGAACACCUGCGGCGAAGGCGGGUUGCUGGGCCGACACUGACGCUGAAGCGCGAAAGCUAGGGGAGCGAACGGG
rnacentral:rRNA from 1 species